rnacentral:lncRNA from 1 species
ACAAUUUGGAUUGGCUCUUUAAUUCUUUCUGGACUCCAAACCAACAUUUUCAAAAUUUUCUUUUAUUUUUCAGACUAAGACUCAAUGAAAUUGCUGCUCCCAUGUUCCUGAGGCCCUACAAGCUGAAGCUUAUUUCUCAUGAUAUAGGCAAGAAAAAUGUGUCAGAUUGCUACCACCUUCCUCCCUGGGCCAGAGUUUUCUUCUCUUAUGAUACUGAUGAUUCUCGAAGAUUGCACCAUCCACCCUUGCGGUUGCUGACUCCCACUUGAUUGCUGGCCUGCCACUCAUCCUGUGCUGUUUUCUUGGAGCCUGACCUCCUCAGUGAUUGCUGCUGGAGAGGCUGAAUGGUGCAACCUGGAAGUGCAGAGUAGCUGAUGCUCUGUGGUGGAAACCAACCAGAUGGAGAGAGGAGUCUGCAGAGAAGUCUUCUCUUUCUUCCUCACCCCAGGUAAGAUGCAGUACUUUAGUUCACAUGGUUUGUGCCUUGAAAAUGAUCAGUGAGACUUAAGCAAACAGCUGUGCCUUUAGAAGCUACAGACAGCUCAGUAACACCUACUCAUAUUUGCUUUCUCUCCUCUGCUUCACUUCCUACUUACCUUCAGUCAUGCUUUUCUUGAAUUGCAUCACCCUAAUAUUGUCUUAGUAAUAAGGUUUUGUCUUAGGCCCUAUUUUCUCAGGAAUCCAGACUAAGGCAGGUAUCAUAGUGGAGAUGUUUAUUAGGCAAAGGGAUACAUGAGUCUGAAGUUCAGAGAAGAGGUCUGUAGGCUGGGGAUAUAGAUUUUGGAUUUGUAGAUAGUAUUUAACAACAUAAGACUAUGAGACAACUAGGAAGUGGAUAUAGGUAGAAAAAAAAAGAGAGCUGAACACUGAGCCCUCAGGCUCUCCAGUAUGUAGAAAGAAGUCCAGAGAGAUGAGGAAAUACCAGCAUUGAGACAGAAGAAACAGCUCAUGAGGUAGAGGGAAAUCAAGAGUGUUGUUCUGGAAGCCAAACUAAAAUAUGUCAAUUAUACAAAAUACUAUUGAUUGGUAAACAAUGUAAGUCUGAGAAAUGAAAAUUGGAAUCAUCAACACUGAAGUUAUCAAACUUGGCUAGAACUCUAUGUUGAGAAAAACCCGUAUAAUAUAUAGUAAUGUCACACUUCUCAUUCCUGAUAUGAUUUGUAUCUUCUUUUUCUCCUGAUCAGAGAAAGAUAAACUUUGGCUAGAAGUUUAUC